AGAACUUUGUCAGGCUUGAGGAAGGAAAUCUAUGCAUGCCUGAAGAAGACAUCAAUUUCACUAAAAAUCCAGACUCACCGGAAGGACAGUUUCAUGUACCAUCAUAGUCUGUUGACAGCAAUGAUCUCAGGCUUUUCCUAGAGCCCAGUGAAACAGUCUUCAGAUGAUGACAGUGAAGAGGCAAUCUUUGAAGAUUUGGAUUUUGCAGAAGAGGAUGACACUGAACCAGAUACAACUAAUGGCAAUGACUCAAGGCAGUUACUUGUAAAGCUCCUAGCAUUCAUGUUUUUAAAAUGGCAAGCUGUGUUCAACAUAUCGGACAAUGCCAUCACUGCAUUGCUGCAAUGCCUAUGACUUACUUAGCACUUUUGCUGAUAUGAUUCCGAAGACUUUACAUACACUAAGGACAUUAAGCAGUAUUAACGGAGACAACUUCUGCAAAUAUGCUGUAUGUCCCAAGUGUAAGACAACAUAUACACUUGCUGAAUGUUGUCACAUCACCAGGAAUGGUUCAACUACCAGAAAAACAUGUGGAUAUAUUCCAUUUUAUAAGCAUCCACACAAGACAUCUGGAGAAAGAAAUGUGGCUCUCUCCUAAUGAGCAAAGUUACAUGUUUCAAUGGCACAGAAAGUCUUUACCCCCCAAAAAAACUAUUGUCAUAAAAAAGUAAUUCAGUCUUUGGAAACUUUGAUUAGAAGACCUGGAUUUUUGGAAAAGUGUGAGAAGUGGAGACAAAUCCCAAACCCCAUAGUGGCAGAUGUAUAUGAUGGACCGAUUUGUGCAGACUUUCAGUAUGUUAAUGGACAGCUGUUUUUAGCAGAACCAAACAAUUUUGCUCUCAAGAAGAAUCUUGAUUGGUAUCAACCCUUCAAGAGUUCCCCAUGUUCAGUAGGGGUCAUAUAUCUGGCCAUUUUGAAUUUGCCACGAGAGGAGUGUUUUAAGGAGGAGAACAUAAUUUUAGUUGGAGCUAUACCAGGGCCUACAGAACCAAAGAACAACAUUAACACUUAUCUUCACCAUCUGGUUGAUGAGCUUCGUGAGCUGUGGGAUGGAGUUCCCAUAUUUGAUUCUUCAUUUUUGGGGUGCCAGGUCUACAGAGCUGCACUUCUGUGCGUUUCAUCAGACAUUCCAGCUUCACGCAGGUGUGGUGGCUUUGUGGGCCAUGGAGCCUUAAGAGGAUGUAACAAAUGCCUGAAAACAUUCAAGAAGACAUAAUUUGGGGGGAAAACAGACUUCUCUGGCUUUGACCUUUCAUCCUGGGUCCCACGCACUUCAGAGGAACACAAGAGGAAUGCUAAAAUGACUGGAAAAGACUGGAAGCCCCAAAAAGACUGGAAGUUCAAUAUGGUGCCAGGUGGUCUGAACUAUUUCACCUUAAGUAUUAUGAUGCCAUAAGAUUUGUUGUCAUCGACCAAAUCUAUAAUCUACUUCUUGGAACAGCCAGGCACAUAUUCAGGUUAUGGACUGAGCUUGGUGUUUUAAAGGGGUACUCCAUCCCAAAAUGAAAAUUUUAUCAUUAUUCACUUACCCUUGUGUCGUUCCAAACGCGUAAAAGCUUUGUUCAUCUUUGAAACACAACUUAAGAUAUUUUGGAUAAAAACCUUGAGACUGUCCCAUAAACUGCCAAAUAAAUAAGUGUCAAGGUCCAGGAAAGUAUGAAAAGCAUCAUCAGAAUAGUCCAUCUGCCAUCAGUGAUUCAACCGUAAUGUUAUGAAGCGACGAGAAUACUUUUUGUACACGAAGAAAACAAAAAUAACAACUUUAUUCAACAAUUCCUCUCCUCUGUGUCUCUCCAAAUCAGCAUAGUGCCAUUUUGGCAAAUCUGAGCUGUACGCGAACAAAUUUUAAUUUUGCGGUGGAGUAACCCUUAAGCGCUCAAAAGCUUGAUGGAAAAAAAAGAAUAGACUCUUUUUAAAGGUGCCUCAGGAAGUGGGAAGGAUUG
ensembl:lncRNA